CAGAGUUAUCCAACUCCCAAACCCAUGUGAACUUAUCUCUUUGUUGCCUCGGCGCAAGCUACCCGGGACCUCGCGCCCCGGGCGGCCCGCCGACGGACAAACCAAAACUCUUGUUAUCUUAGUUGAUUAUCUGAGUGUCUUAUUUAAUAAGUCA
rnacentral:misc_RNA from 1 species